rnacentral:rRNA from 1 species
UACGUAGGGUGCGAGCGUUGUCCGGAAUUAUUGGGCGUAAAGAGCUCGUAGGCGGUCUGUCGCGUCGGUCGUGAAAACUUGGGGCUUAACCCUGAGCUUGCGGUCGAUACGGGCAUGACUGGAGUUCGGUAGGGGAGACUGGAAUUCCUGGUGUAGCGGUGAAAUGCGCAGAUAUCAGGAGGAACACCGGUGGCGAAGGCGGGUCUCUGGGCCGAUACUGACGCUGAGGAGCGAAAGCGUGGGGAGCAAACGGG